rnacentral:rRNA from 1 species
UUAAGCGACUAAGCGUACACGGUGGAUGCCCUGGCAGUCAGAGGCGAUGAAGGACGUGCUAAUCUGCGAAAAGCGUCGGUAAGGUGAUAUGAACCGUUAUAACCGGCGAUGUCCGAAUGGGGAAACCCAGUGCAAUUCGUUGCACUAUCGUUAACUGAAUACAUAGGUUAACGAGGCGAACCGGGGGAACUGAAACAUCUAAGUACCCCGAGGAAAAGAAAUCAACCGAGAUUCCCCCAGUAGCGGCGAGCGAACGGGGAGCAGCCCAGAGUCUGAAUCAGCUUGUGUGUUAGUGGAACGGUCUGGAAAGUCCGACGGUACAGGGUGAUAGUCCCGUACACCAAAAUGCACAGGCUGUGAACUCGAAGAGUAGGGCGGGACACGUGGUAUCCUGUCUGAAUAUGGGGGGACCAUCCUCCAAGGCUAAAUACUCCUGACUGACCGAUAGUGAACCAGUACCGUGAGGGAAAGGCGAAAAGAACCCCGGCGAGGGGAGUGAAAAAGAACCUGAAACCGUGUACGUACAAGCAGUGGGAGCACCUUCGGGUGUGACUGCGUACCUUUUGUAUAAUGGGUCAGCGACUUAUAUUCUGUAGCAAGGUUAACCGUAUAGGGGAGCCGCAGGGAAACCGAGUCUUAACUGGGCGUUAAGUUGCAGGGUAUAGACCCGAAACCCGGUGAUCUAGCCAUGGGCAGGUUGAAGGUUGGGUAACACUAACUGGAGGACCGAACCGACUAAUGUUGAAAAAUUAGCGGAUGACUUGUGGCUGGGGGUGAAAGGCCAAUCAAACCGGGAGAUAGCUGGUUCUCCCCGAAAGCUAUUUAGGUAGCGCCUCGUGAACUCAUCUUCGGGGGUAGAGCACUGUUUCGGCUAGGGGGUCAUCCCGACUUACCAACCCGAUGCAAACUACGAAUACCGAAGAAUGUUAUCACGGGAGACACACGGCGGGUGCUAACGUCCGUCGUGAAGAGGGAAACAACCCAGACCGCCAGCUAAGGUCCCAAAGUCAUGGUUAAGUGGGAAACGAUGUGGGAAGGCACAGACAGCCAGGAUGUUGGCUUAGAAGCAGCCAUCAUUUAAAGAAAGCGUAAUAGCUCACUGGUCGAGUCGGCCUGCGCGGAAGAUGUAACGGGGCUAAACCAUGCACCGAAGCUGCGGCAGCGACACUAUGUGUUGUUGGGUAGGGGAGCGUUCUGUAAGCCUGCGAAGGUGUGCUGUGAGGCAUGCUGGAGGUAUCAGAAGUGCGAAUGCUGACAUAAGUAACGAUAAAGCGGGUGAAAAGCCCGCUCGCCGGAAGACCAAGGGUUCCUGUCCAACGUUAAUCGGGGCAGGGUGAGUCGACCCCUAAGGCGAGGCCGAAAGGCGUAGUCGAUGGGAAACAGGUUAAUAUUCCUGUACUUGGUGUUACUGCGAAGGGGGGACGGAGAAGGCUAUGUUAGCCGGGCGACGGUUGUCCCGGUUUAAGCAUGUAGGCUGGUUGUCCAGGCAAAUCCGGAUAAUCAAGGCUGAGGUGUGAUGACGAGGCACUACGGUGCUGAAGUAACAAAUGCCCUGCUUCCAGGAAAAGCCUCUAAGCAUCAGGUAACAUUAAAUCGUACCCCAAACCGACACAGGUGGUCAGGUAGAGAAUACCAAGGCGCUUGAGAGAACUCGGGUGAAGGAACUAGGCAAAAUGGUGCCGUAACUUCGGGAGAAGGCACGCUGGUGUGUAGGUGAAGUCCCUGCGGAUGGAGCUGAGACCAGUCGAAGAUACCAGCUGGCUGCAACUGUUUAUUAAAAACACAGCACUGUGCAAACACGAAAGUGGACGUAUACGGUGUGACGCCUGCCCGGUGCCGGAAGGUUAAUUGAUGGGGUUAUCCGUAAGGAGAAGCUCUUGAUCGAAGCCCCGGUAAACGGCGGCCGUAACUAUAACGGUCCUAAGGUAGCGAAAUUCCUUGUCGGGUAAGUUCCGACCUGCACGAAUGGCGUAAUGAUGGCCAGGCUGUCUCCACCCGAGACUCAGUGAAAUUGAACUCGCUGUGAAGAUGCAGUGUACCCGCGGCAAGACGGAAAGACCCCGUGAACCUUUACUAUAGCUUGACACUGAACAUUGAGCCUUGAUGUGUAGGAUAGGUGGGAGGCUUUGAAGCGUGGACGCCAGUCUGCGUGGAGCCAACCUUGAAAUACCACCCUUUAAUGUUUGAUGUUCUAACGUUGGCCCCUUACCGGGGUUGCGGACAGUGUCUGGUGGGUAGUUUGACUGGGGCGGUCUCCUCCCAAAGCGUAACGGAGGAGCACGAAGGUUAGCUAAUCCUGGUCGGACAUCAGGAGGUUAGUGCAAUGGCAUAAGCUAGCUUGACUGCGAGCGUGACGGCGCGAGCAGGUGCGAAAGCAGGUCAUAGUGAUCCGGUGGUUCUGAAUGGAAGGGCCAUCGCUCAACGGAUAAAAGGUACUCCGGGGAUAACAGGCUGAUACCGCCCAAGAGUUCAUAUCGACGGCGGUGUUUGGCACCUCGAUGUCGGCUCAUCACAUCCUGGGGCUGAAGUAGGUCCCAAGGGUAUGGCUGUUCGCCAUUUAAAGUGGUACGCGAGCUGGGUUUAGAACGUCGUGAGACAGUUCGGUCCCUAUCUGCCGUGGGCGCUGGAGAAUUGAGGGGGGCUGCUCCUAGUACGAGAGGACCGGAGUGGACGCAUCACUGGUGUUCGGGUUGUCAUGCCAAUGGCACUGCCCGGUAGCUAAAUGCGGAAGAGAUAAGUGCUGAAAGCAUCUAAGCACGAAACUUGCCCCGAGAUGAGUUCUCCCUGAGACUAUAAGUCUCCUGAAGGAACGUUAAAGACGAUGACGUUGAUAGGCCGGGUGUGUAAGCGCAGCGAUGCGUUGAGCUAACCGGUACUAAUGAACCGUGAGGCUUAACCUU